CACAGUGUCCCACCAGAACUUGCAGAGAUCUUAGAGAAAGUGAGAGCCAUGAGAUUUCUUUAUUUUUUCUUUGCUGUGGCUGUACUUGUCUUCCAUAUUGCUCUAGGGCGCACUCAGUCCUGCCGUGCACUGGGAGGCUUCUGCCAGACUUCACUCCGUAGAUCAUGCCCAUAUGGAUCUCUUCCAGCCAACUGUGGCAUUAAUGCCAGGUGCUGUAAAAGGAAACCACCAAUAACAAAUGCUUGUAAAAACCUGGGAGGCUACUGCCAUGUUCCACAGCGUGAAAACUGUCCCUCUGGCAAAAGUCUACCAGCCAACUGUGGCAUUAAUGGGAAAUGCUGCAAACCAGUUUUGUAAUCUAAGAUAUGGCUCCUCGCAUGUGGAAAUGAAGUAGAGCAAACCCAAAGCAGACAAGAAGGAUAUCAGACGUGACCAAUGAUCAGCAAAUUAAAUGGAGAUUAAAUAU